UACGUAGGGUGCGAGCGUUGUCCGGAAUUAUUGGGCGUAAAGAGCUCGUAGGCGGUGUGUCGCGUCGGCCGUGAAAACCUGGGGCUCAACUCUGGGCGUGCGGUCGAUACGGGCAUCACUUGAGUUCGGCAGGGAGACUGGAAUUCCUGGUGAUAGCGGUGAAAUGCGCAGAUAUCAGGAGGAACACCGGUGGCGAAGGCGGGUCUCUGGGCCGAUACUGACGCUGAGGAAGCGAAAGCAUGGGUAGCAAACAGG
rnacentral:rRNA from 1 species